UCUAUCUUCUUCUUCGCUCUCCCUUACCCUCUCUUCUUUUUCUUGCUCAGUCACGUAUCCUCUCUUCUUUUUCUUGCUCAGUCACGUACCCUCUCUUCUUUAUCUUGCCAUGAAAUUACACAGAGAUCUGAAGAAAUAUUAAGAAUUUGCUUAGUUUUGUGGGUUUUCACUUGAUUCAUUGUUGAACUCUCUCGAUCUAAAAGAAAUUAAAGAUAAGUGUGUUUCUCUGUACUUUGUUCUUUUAUUUUGUUCCUCCUUUAAUUUUCUGUAUCACUAGUUUUUGUAUCUCCUGAUCUGAACUCCUAGUUUUUGUUAUGUUUUCUCUAUAGCUUAUCGUUAUUUGUGGAUUCUUUUGAUUUCCUUUUAUAUUUGUAACUGGAUUUUUCCUUCUUCUUUGUAGGAUCCGAAAGAAAAGGCAAAAUUGGAGACUAGGGAAUGGUUAAACACUGUGGUAUGAGACAUGGCCCUAUAUUUUUUUAAAUGACGUACUGUGCUUGUCUUGAAUAGUUCAUUGGUUUUAAUUGAUGUCAAAUAUAUGGUGGUGGUGGUGACGGACGUGGUGGUGGAUAUGGUGGUAGGAAGGAUUCGAAUAAUGGGAGUUUAUUGGUUAGAAACAUUCCUAUGAAUUGCAGGCCUGAAGACCUUCGAAUUCCAUUUGAAAGAUUUGGACAAGUGAGGGAUGUGUAUUUGCCUAAAUAUUUUUACUCACGGGGUAUGUUGGUUUGAAGUUAAACAAUCCCAAGCCCCAGUCUUGAUGAAGAAGUUGCCCUGCAUACUUGACUAUAAAAAAAGGGAGCCUCGAGGAUUCGCUUUUGUGCAGUUUGUGGAUCCUUAUGAUGCUGGAGAGGCUCAGUAUCACAUGAAUGGACAAUUUUUCUGUGGCAGAGAGAUAACUAUCGUGGUUGCUGCUGAGACGAGGAAAAGGCCUGAGGAGAUGCGCCACUGAUGCAGGCCAACUAGAAAAUUAUCAAGGACGUGCAGAGUUGUCUCAAAGUUUUCAUGAUGCUGAAAAGGCUUGUUUUGGUAAGAAGGUUACCGACAAUUUUUAUGAUGCUGUUGUCAAUUGCGUUGGCCUACACACAGCUUAUGUAGCGGAACACAACAUUGAUGUUCAAGCUCUUGAGUCACCCGAGAAAUUACUUGCUUUAGAUGAGAAAGCUCACCAUGCUGGCAGUAACAAGUAUCAGCCGGCGACUGUGUUGGAAAGGCUACGCGCUUUCACAUCUUCCUACUCAGAUGUGAUUGAUGCGCAACAACAAAAUUGAUUUCCUCCUUGUGGUAAUAUGGCGAUUUUGGUCGUUUAGGUGCUGUUCUGGCUGGUCUUCAUCAUAUAGAGCUGAUGGACUCCUCCACUUUGUUAUUUGUUUAGCACUUAAUAGAGAGAGAGAUAUGGUCUGUUAACUUUUUAUUGAAUAAGUGAAGAACCUAAGUCCUGUGCAACCGUUAGAACAUCGUUAUUAAUUUGCUAGCCAUAGCAAAUUUAUUUUUGUUGAAAUUCAUAUGUUUCUUCUCAGCUUGACACCAAAUGGUUUGACAACUUUAACAGAAGAUAGAUUGGCUUUAUGCUGUGAAGAACCGUUUGGAUUCCUUUGUUAAUUUUACCUGCUGUAGCACAUUUAUUCUUGUUAUCAGGGAAAUUCAUAAGUAUUGGCACCCUUGUCAAUUGAUUGUUUUUCA